GGACUACUCGAACGUGUCAUUCGGAUAUCGGACGCAGAAGAUAUCAUCAGAUUAGUGUGAGGGGAAAAUUUUAGACCGACCUCGAUGCCCUUAUCCAAAGUGUGGGCGCCUUAAUAAUUUUUGUUGGCCUUAUCAUCACCAAAUGUGUCGAGGAGAAAAUCAAUUCUCUUUUCCUUUUCUCUUUCUUCUUCUCAUAUGUUCUUUCUUCUCCUCCUCUCUGUCGAAUUCUUUUCAAGGAAUUGAGGUGAGUUCGUAUGAAAGAUUCACAAGAGCUUAGUAUCAUGUUGAACUGAAGAAGAAGGUGAUGCUUCUGCUGUCGAUUGAGUUCUGGAAAAGCAGAGUUUUGGUGAUGAUGUUUAGCUAGAUAGUCUGAGUUAAGUUGGAAUCGCAAUUUAUGAGCUGUUGAGAUGACAAUAUUGAACUUGAACUGAACUCAAGAAGUGAGGAUAUAUAACAGAUGAGGGUAUGAAGACAUGAAGUCAAUGAAUUGGAAAUGAAUUGCAAAUGUAGAGCAUAAAUGUUAUGUUGGUGUUCCUUGUGUUGAACUGAUAAAGAGGAUUUGAUCUCAGUGGCUUGAUCAAGCUAAAUCAAGUGCUACUUCAGGUGGAGGUCUUGAAAAUGAGCUGAAGUUACUAAAUGAUUGUAGUUGGGGGUUUAGCUAGAUAACAUGAUAUGGAUAGGUAUUGGUGGUGUUGCUGCUGAUAUAAGAUAUGAAGAAUGGAUGGAUGUUGAAUUGGUGAUACAAAUGAAGUUGUUGGUGUUGAACUGGAUUGUGUGAAUGGCUUGCUUGGAUACAGUUCGUGGAGUUGGCAGUGAUUAGAUACAUGGGUGUAUUUGAGUAAGAGUUAAUGGAGUUGUUGUUGUGGUCCAAGUUCUUGAUAAUGAAAUAAAGAAGCUGUUGGGGUUCAAUAUGCAAGGCAGCUGGUGAGGAUAUGAAGUAAAGUUUGGUGAUGUUGACUUGAGUAUAGUGUUGUUGAUAUGGAUGGAGUGGAGUGGAGUGAAGCUAUAAAUUGUAAUGGAGGUGGUACUGUGUUGGAAUGGCAGUGUAGUUGAAGUUCAUAGGGUUAUGAAUGAAUGGGUGUUGUAGAAUUGACAGAACUACAAGAUUGUAAUGGUUUAUGAGCUAUAAGAGUAUGUAUUGGAAUUAGAAUUAGAAAUGGGUUGUUUAGAUUGAACUGAAUUGUUAAAUGAGUAGGGAUUGUUUUGUGUUUGGCUUGUUAUGUAUGUGUUGCAUCAUCUUAGUCUUGGCAGGUUAGGUGUUGCACCUUGUUUGUUUUUUUUAAUAAGCAAAAGAUUUUAUUAACAAA